AUGAGUGUGCCCACACAGGUCCUGGGGCUGCUGUUGCUGUGGCUUACAGAUGCCAGAUGUGACAUCCAGAUGACUCAGUCUCCAGCCUCUCUGACUGCAUCUGUGGGAGAAACUGUCACCAUCUCAUGUCAAGCAAGUAAGAACAUUUACAACUAUUUAGCGUGGUAUCAGCAGAAACCAGGGAAAUCUCCUCAGCUCCUGAUCUAUGCUGCAAACAGCUUGGCAGAUGGUGUCCCAUCAAGGUUCAGUGGCAGUGGAUCUGGGACACAGUUUUCUAUGAAGAUCAACAGCAUGCAGCCUGGAGAUGCUGCAACUUAUUUCUGUGGACAGUCUUAUGAGUACCCUCGCACAGUGUUUCAAGUCAUGACAUAA